UAUUAAAAAGUCCUAUACCGACAGGGUAAUAUAGCAAUCCAGCAGCCUCGCAGCUCCAUCGACUUCCGAGAAGAUUCGGGAAUAUUUACAGUACGCACAUAAGCAACGCCAAAAGCGAAAUGAUCCGUUAAAAAAACAAACAUGGAAAACUAUCGGAUAAGAGCGAGAAGAAGAAAGAGAGCGAAAGAGGAAUAGAGAGAGAGAGAGAGAGAUUGAAGAAACCUUUUUAGCUAAUGCUGGUUGUGUGUGAAUGCAGCGAAAAUGGGAAAGAGACUCAACGACGUUCUUUUGCUUCCGGAGAAACCAUCGACGCAGUCACUUCUUUUCCUGUUUUCCCUCCAUCUUCAUAGAAAGCCAAGGGCCGGCUGUGUUUCUUUCGAAACGGGCACGUUUCAUUGCACAACAAACGGAGAUCAGUUCAUCUUCGAAGUGUUGACUACUCGAGCAAGAAUCUUGAUACGCCACCGCAACAUGAAAAUGGACGAAUAGAUUUACAUAUUCCACCCACGAUUUGUGAUCCUCGAGCGGCUAAAGUUUCAACUACGGUGGAUCCAGCGACCUGCCUCUCUUUGCUAUCUGGUCUGUCGUGAUAAUACGAUGCCAUACACAUUUCACAAGACGUUUUGUUUUGCGUUAAAAGGACAACAGUUUAGUUACCAAAAUGUACACGUUGCUGUCGUGUCAAGUUACACGCCUGUUAAGACAAUAUAAAUGCUGGGGAACGUAA